AGAUUGAACGCUGGCGGCAGGCCUAACACAUGCAAGUCGAGCGGUAGAGAGGUGCUUGCAUCUCUUGAGAGCGGCGGACGGGUGAGUAAUGCCUAGGAAUCUGCCUAGUGGUGGGGAUAACGUUCGGAAACGGACGCUAAUACCGCAUACGUCCUACGGGAGAAAGCGGGGGACCUUCGGGCCUCGCGCCAUUAGAUGAGCCUAGGUCGGAUUAGCUAGUUGGUGAGGUAAUGGCUCACCAAAGGCGACGAUCCGUAACUGGUCUGAGAGGAUGAUCAGUCACACUGGAACUGAGACACGGUACCAGACCUCCGUACGGGAGGCAGCAGUGGGAAUAGUUGGAACAAGUGGGACGAAAGCCUAGAUACCGAGACCAUCGGCCCGGUCGUUGGUAGGU
rnacentral:rRNA from 1 species